rnacentral:lncRNA from 1 species
GCCUACACGGCCACGAGUGGGCCCCACGCCUUUGCCUCUCCUCUUGUGCCCCCUCCCCAAGUUUGGUCCCGGGCUAGAUUUUGAGGGGGAGCCCGGGGGAUGAGGAACUUUGUUCACAGCCUUUGCUCAGAGCCCAGAGCAGCACAAGGCACGUUCUUUCUGGCCGAGAAGGUUGGCGAAGGGAAACGGAGUAUGGAGCUACCCAAAGGUGACGGUGCUGAUCCCUGCACGCGGUCACGAUGUUCAUGGUGGCAGAAACCACGGGACUCCAAGUCAGAAGAUCCCAGCGGCCAGGCCCUCCUUGGGAAGCCUCCGUUUCUCCCUCAGCAAAAUAGGGUGAAUGAUAAAGAGCCUACAUCAGCCAGCUCCACGGACCCAUCGGGCGGUAAAAGACUUGGCGGGGAGCCUGACCAGGUGCAAUCUGGUGGUUGCAAGCAGCACGUCCUCAGAAUGGAGAGCCGCCCCUGCCGGAAGUUCUUCAGGUCCCAGGAAAACCCUUGAGGGAUGCCAGGGGCUGGAUGGUCUCAGAGGGUGGAUGAGGCUAUUAUUACAGCUGUUGCUAUUAUUCUUAAUUUAAUUAUUAUACACACGAAAUGGUGUUGGGUGUGGUGGACCAGGCUUGAAGGGAGGGGUGAGGAGAAAGAACUCAUGGGCUGCCUGCCCUGCUCAGUUCAGGAGGCAGGCUGGGCUGGGUGCAACCAGUCCCUGCUGGUGUGCUGUCUAACCUGGGAGGGUACUGUUUCUGAGACAUGACAGUGUAGCAGCACCUAGAACUUAAAAAAACAAAUAUAAGCACUUAUUCACUCCUUAGUAAGUUUUUCUUGUGUACCUACUAUGUGCCUAGCACUAUUCUAGGAGCUGAGGAUACAGCAAUGAACAAAAUCGACUAAAAAAAAUUCCUGCUCUCUUGCCGUUUAUGUUGGUGUGAGGUGAGAUAGAUAAUUUAUAAAAUACAUAAUUAGAUGGCAGAGGAUGUCUGAUGAUGAGUGCUAUGUAGGGGGUGGGACGAAAGGAGAGCCUCUCUGAGAAGGUAAUAUUUGAGCUUUAAAAUAGUUCUAUCUGCUGUUGGUGGGAAUGUCAUUCGUGCAGCCACUAUGGAGAACAGUAUAGACGUUCCUUUGAAAACUAAAAAUAGAGCCACCAUAUGAUCCGGCAGUCCCACUCCUGAGCUUAUACCUGGAAAAUAUGGAAACUCUAAAUCAAAAAGAUACAUGCUCCCCAGUGUUCACAGUAGCGCUAGUUAUAAUAGCCAAGACAUGAAUGCAACCUAAAUGUACAUUGACAGAUGAAUGGAAUAAGAAAUUGUGCUGCAUACAUACAUAUAAUGGAAUACUAGUCAGUCAUAAAAAAGAAUGAAAUAAGGCGAUUUUGCAGCAACAUGGUUGGACCUAGAGAAUAUAUACUAGGUGAAAUAAGUCAGAGAUAAAUAUCGUAUGAUAUCACUUAUGCGUGGAAUCUUAAAAAAUGAUACAAAUGAACUUAUUUACAAAACAAAAACAGACUCAGACAUAGAAAACAAACUUAAGCUUACCAAAGGGGAAAGCGGGCAGGCAAGGAUACAUUAGGAGCUUGGGAUUUACAGAUACACACUCUUCAUAUAAAAUGGAUAACAACAAGGACCUACCGUAUAGCCCAGAGAUCUAUAUCCAGUAUUUUGUAAUAGCCUAUAAUGAAAAGAAUCUGAAAAUAUAUAUAUCUAUAUAAAAACUGAAUCACCUUACUGUAUACCUUAAACUAACACAACACUAUAAAUCAACUAUACUUCAAUAAAAAAAUAAAAUAGUGCUCUCUGGGGAUUGGUGACAAUGGUGCAUUCAGUUGUGAAAAUGCAUUGAGCUCUGUGCAUUUAUGAUUUUAUGCAUUUUCCUGAAUGCAUUUCAAACCUUAGUGUUUGUUUAGAUUUAGUGCUAACAAAAUCAUUUAGUAAUAAUAGCUAUCAUUUACUCUUGACGUACUGACUGUGCUUCCACCAUGAUAGGUAUUUUCCACUCAUUAUCUCAUUUAAUCCCGAUGAUUCAGCUAACAUGUAAAUAUUAUUGCUCCCCGCUUUUGGAGAGGAAGACAAUUAGAGUGCAGCAUAGCUCUCUUGCCCUUGACAGGCACUGUGGACACAACAAUGAAUGACCCAGCUCCCAUACUCCAGGAGCUUGAAAUCCAAAGGAAGUACAGCAUAAGGGGGCUGUGGAGAAAGUGUGGGUGCUUUCAUACCACCCACAAGAAUGGAGACAUGAAACUGAGCCCAAGAGGCUAGUGCCAAGGCAGGCCUCCAGGAAAUGAUGACUAAGCCAGGAGGCGGAUUCACCAGGCAGGGGUUUUGAGGGCUGUUAUAGACAGAGGAGAAUGUGUGGCAUGUUUGGGGACUGGAGCUCGGCACAGCUGCCCAUAGAACAGGAGGAAGUAACAGGCAAUUUCUUUGGGAGGUAGGUGGGGAUCAGAUCAGGAGGGUCAUGUUAAGAGGUUUAUCCCAGAAGGGAUUAGAGCACACAGGACUACAUUUGUGUUUUGAGAGACCAGUGUGGCCACAGUGUGACAUCAGGAUGGGGGUUGGUUGCUAGAGAUGGUGUUCCUUGGGGGUUGGGGUGGGGGUGGGAAGGAAUCCUGGUGGCCUGAAAUAGAGACAUGGCAGUGGGAGCAGGGAGAUGUGACUCUAUUCCAGAGAUACUGAGAAGGUUGCAUCUAUCCUCCUUGGUGCCGAUUGGAUGUGGCCAGUGAGAGGCAGGAUAGAGUGAUGUCCAGGUCUCUGACUUGGGGUAUUGACACCAAUCACAGAGAUCGUCCAGUGGGGGGAGGGCGGAGUGGCAGGAGGAAGGAAGAUUUGGCAGCAAAGGAAAGGAGACUUGAAGGGCUGGUAAAACUUUCUAGUAGUCCAGCAGCAGUGACAGGCAGGCAGCCCCACAAAUGCGUGGAGUUGGCACUGAUGCAUAGACCUGCUGAAGCCCAUUGAAUGGCUGAAAGAGCAGCACAGAAGAGGAAGGCACAGGAUGGAUUCCUUUCGGAUCAUCUGGGAUGUUCUGCCCCCACUGCUGCAGUCUCCCCAGCACUGUACUUCCCAAUCCUAACACUCACGUUUUGGUAAUUAUUUACUUGUCUGAUGUUUUAUUUUCUCUAUGGAACUCACCAUCAUCUAAAAUUGUUAGUUUUGUUUUUUGUUCAUUGUAUGCCUCUGCACUCCAGAACACAAACCUCAAGAGGGCUGGGACUCUGUCCUCGCCCACUGCUAACAUCCCUGAGUCUGGCCAACAUGUAUUGAUCUCUAUGAAUGGCCCGCCCACUGAUCUGACUGGUAGCAGGUGACACAGACCCACAAGAGUGCAGGACAAUGGAUUUCCUUGUGCAGUGAAGUUGCUGGACACUAGUUUUGCACUUUGCACAGUACUGAAACACUCUAAGUGAAAAUUAGAGCUUUGUGAAACUGAUUCUAAAAAUGAAAUCUGAAAGACAAUAUCUCAUCUCUAAAAAUCUCCAAUUGCAAGUUUAUAUUUUAGAGCUGCAUUAUGUGUCGCCUUCAGUAGAGAAACUCCUGCUCAUUAAGACGUAUUCUUCCUCCUCUUCCCUUCCCUCCUUUCCCUCCCUCCCUUCAUUCCUCUCUUCCUUUCUUUAUUUCAGCCAAUACAUGAAUAAUCAGUCUUGUUCUCAGCAGAGGUUCAGAGGUGAAUAGGACAGACAAGCUUCCUUCCCUCCCUUCCACCUCCUGGAGUUUACAUGCUGUUGGGAGGGCUGAUGAUAAACAAAUGAAUGAUGAAUGAUAUUCCUGCCUUCAUGGAUCUUAUAUUAAAGAUAUGAGUCCAACCUUA